AGGUUUUUGUUGAUCUUUAUGCCUCUAAGCUCACCAAGGUUUUAAUGGUAUUUCGGGACUACCUGGAUUAAGAUCUUAUGGGUGCUAGUCUUGUUUGGUGGCAUUGCUAAGAUUUGGAGGUAGUUGGGACCUAGGUCGAAGAGUCCAUUUGUAUUUGCCAUUUGGUAGGUUCCAUGGCAUCCAGUAACAGUACCCACGUCCAAAGUCACUCUGUUAAUAGUCAAGGUCUCUUGCAUAUGUAUAUAGUUACUUAAAUGUAAAUUAUGAGAUUGUUGUGCACUCUGUAUGUUUGAUUUGAUUAACCAUGUCGUUUAGG